UGCGGGCCCCUCGGGGCCCAACCUCCCACCCGUGUUGCCCGAACCUAUGUUGCCUCGGCGGGCCCCGCGCCCGCCGACGGCCCCCCUGAACGCUGUCUGAAGUUGCAGUCUGAGACCUAUAACGAAAUUAGUUAAAACUUUCAACAACGGAUCUCUUGGUUCCGGCAUCGAUGAAGAACGCAGCGAAAUGCGAUAACUAAUGUGAAUUGCAGAAUUCAGUGAAUCAUCGAGUCUUUGAACGCACAUUGCGCCCUCUGGUAUUCCGGAGGGCAUGCCUGUCCGAGCGUCAUUGCUGCCCUCAAGCCCGGCUUGUGUGUUGGGCCCCGUCCCCCCCGCCGGGGGGACGGGCCCGAAAGGCAGCGGCGGCACCGCGUCCGGUCCUCGAGCGUAUGGGGCUUCGUCACCCGCUCUAGUAGGCCCGGCCGGCGCCAGCCGACCCCCAACCUUUAAUUAUCUCAGGUUGACCUCGGAUCAGGUAGGGAUACCCGCUGAACUUAAGCAUAUCAAUAAGCGGAGGAA
rnacentral:rRNA from 1 species